rnacentral:rRNA from 1 species
UGGGGAAUAUUGCACAAUGGGCGCAAGCCUGAUGCAGCCAUGCCGCGUGUGUGAAGAAGGCCUUCGGGUUGUAAAGCACUUUCAGCGGGGAGGAAGGCGUUAAGGUUAAUAACCUUGGCGAUUGACGUUACCCGCAGAAGAAGCACCGGCUAACUCCGUGCCAGCAGCCGCGGUAAUACGGAGGGUGCAAGCGUUAAUCGGAAUUACUGGGCGUAAAGCGCACGCAGGCGGUCUGUCAAGUCGGAUGUGAAAUCCUCGGGCUCAACCUGGGAACUGCAUCUGAUACUGGCAAGCUUGAGUCUCGUAGAGGGGGGUAGAAUUCCAGGUGUAGCGGUGAAAUGCGUAGAGAUCUGGAGGAAUACCGGUGGCGAAGGCGGCCCCCUGGACGAAGACUGACGCUCAGGUGCGAAAGCGUGGGGAGCAAACAGG